UACCAGGCUGAGAACCGACAGGAGGGAACCAGGGCGCACGGCACGAGAGUAAUAACAGGCAGAGAAAUGACAAGAGGGCGCCCCUGCCGGCGCCCCCCUUAUGACAGCGCCCCGGGCGGCCGCCCGGCCCGCC